CGUAACACGUGAGCAACCUUCCGAAAUAUGGGGGAUAGCCGGCCUAACGGCCGAGUAAUACCGCAUACGCUCUCGAUGAGGCAUUUCAUUGAGAGGAAACCUCCGGGGUAUUUCGAGGGGCUCGCGGCCUAUCAGCUAGUUGGCGAGGUAACGGCUCACCAAGGCAACGACGGGUAGCUGGUCUGAGAGGAUGGUCAGCCGGACUGGGACUGAGAUACGGCCCAG
rnacentral:rRNA from 1 species